CCUACGGGGGGCAGCAGUGAGGAAUAUUGGUCAAUGGCCGGAAGGCUGAACCAGCCAAGCCGCGUGAAGGACGAAGGUGCCAAGCAUUGUAAACUUCUUUUGUCAAGGGACAAAAUCAGGCGCGAGAGCCUGACCGAGGGUACUUGAAGAAAAAGCAUCGGCUAACUCCGUGCCAGCAGCCGCGGUAAUACGGAGGAUGCGAGCGUUAUCCGGAUUUAUUGGGGUUAAGGGGUGCGUAGGCGGACUGUUAAGUCAGCGGUAAAAGCCCGGGGCUCCACCCCGGCGAGCCGUUGAAACUGGCUGUCUUUAGCUGUCGUGCGGUAUGCGGACUGCGCAUUGUAGCGGUGAACUGCUUAGCUAUUGCGCAGAACUCCGAUUGCGAAGGCAGCAUACCGGCGGCGAUCUGACGCUGAGGCACGAAAGCGUGGGUAUCGAACAGGAUUAGAUACCCGUGUAGUC
rnacentral:rRNA from 1 species